AAAAUUAUUUGAACUGUAAAACAUACAAUGUCGCUCAGGAUCAACUGCAUGUUUAAGUUUCAUCAAGCAUUCAACGAUUGCUGUUUACAGAUUUAUGAUAUCAUCAUAGCAAUCAUCUUUUCAAUUCCAUCCGAUCACUAUUUCAUGGAAGAAUAAAUAAUGACUUCAACUUUUAUCAAGAAAUGAGAGUACGAAGGAAGAAAAAAAAAAUCGAAUAGUAUAAUACCGAA
rnacentral:misc_RNA from 1 species